AACUCGACUACACGAAGCUGGAAUCGCUAGUAAUCGCGAAUCAGAAUGUCGCGGUGAAUACGUUCCCGGGUCUUGUACACACCGCCCGUCACACCAUGGGAGUCGGGGAAUACCCGAAGCCUGUGAGCUAACUUAUAGAGGCAGCAGUCGAAGGUAGAAUCAAUGAUUGGGGUGAAGUCGUAACAAGGUAAC
rnacentral:rRNA from 1 species